rnacentral:tRNA from 1 species
CGGGGUGUGGCGCAGCUUGGUAGCGCGCUUCGUUCGGGACGAAGAGGUCGGGGGUUCAAAUCCGCACACCCCGACCA